GGAGAAGUGGCCGAGUGGUCGAAGGCGCUUGACUCGAAAUCAAGUGUACCCUCCGGGUACCUAGGGUUCGAAUCCCUACUUCUCCGCCA
rnacentral:tRNA from 1 species